AGCAGGAAGUCUUCUUGAGAAGCUCCCAGGUGGCCUUCCGAGUGACGUGAAUCCAGCAGGAAGUCUUCUUGAGGGGCUCCCGGGUGGCCUUCUGAGUGACGUGAAUCCAGCAGGAAGUCUUCUUGAGAAGGACGCAGUUCCAGUAGAAAAUGUUCUUCCGCUCCCAGGUGGCCUUCAGGGCUAAUCAGGGAAAUGAUCUGCGCACUAAGAAUUUGGAGUUAACCAUCCAAUGCUGACAAAACCGGCCUGGCUGACUUCGAGCACGUCACUUGCCAUUCCCCUUCCCAUGCUGCUGCCGGACAACUUUCCACCAAUCACACGCUGAAUGAAAACGUCAAUCUGACCGAUAGGGCUUCUGGCUAAUUCCUGGGAUGGUCAUUGAUUUGUGCUGCUUUUUGAUGUAACACAGGGUGGAGGGACACUGAGCUCUGUCCCACGCCUGCCUGGGGGAGGUGAGAGCUUUGCAAAUCUUCAAAUAAAAUAAAUAGAAAUGCACAAAAA